GAUGAACGCUGGCGGCGUGCCUAAUACAUGCAAGUCGAGCGAACAGACGAGGAGCUUGCUCCUCUGACGUUAGCGGCGGACGGGUGAGUAACACGUGGAUAACCUACCUAUAAGACUGGGAUAACUUCGGGAAACCGGAGCUAAUACCGGAUAAUAUAUUGAACCGCAUGGUUCAAUAGUGAAAGACGGUUUUGCUGUCACUUAUAGAUGGAUCCGCGCCGCAUUAGCUAGUUGGUAAGGUAACGGCUUACCAAGGCAACAAUGCGUAGCCGACCUGAGAGGGUGAUCGGCCACAAUGGAACUGAGACACGGUCCAGACUCCUACGGGAGGCAGCAGUAGGGAAUCUUCCGCAAUGGGCGAAAGCCUGACGGAGCAACGCCGCGUGAGUGAUGAAGGUCUUCGGAUCGUAAAACUCUGUUAUUAGGGAAGAACAAAUGUGUAAGUAACUAUGCACGUCUUGACGGUACCUAAUCAGAAAGCCACGGCUAACUACGUG
rnacentral:rRNA from 1 species